UUACAGCUAACGCGUUAAACAUUCCGCCUGGGACUACGGUCGCAAGAUUAAAACUCAAAANNNUUGACGGGGACCCGCACAAGCGGUGGAGCAUGUGGUUUAAUUCGAUGCAACGCGAAAAACCCUACCACUCCUUGACAUGGAAAUUAUACCUAUUCGAAGGGAUAGGGUCGGUUCGACCGGGUUUCACACAGGUGUUGCAUGGCUGUCGUCAGCUCGUGUCGUGAGAUGUUGGGUUAAGUCCCGCAACGAGCGCAACCCUCAUCCUUAGUUACCAUCAGGUAAUGCUGGGGACUUUAAGGAGACUGCCAGUGAUAAACUGGAGGAAGGUGGGGAUGAUGUCAAGUCAUCAUGGCCCUUAUGGAGUGGGCUACACACGUGCUACAAUGGUGGCUACAAUGGGCUGCAAAGUCGCGAGGCUAAGCCAAUCCCUUAAAAGCCAUCUCAGUUCGGAUUGUACUCUGCAACUCGAGUGCAUGAAGUUGGGAUCGCUAGUAAUCGUGGAUCAGCACGCCACGGUGAAUACGUUCUCGGGUCUUGUACACGCUGCCCGUCACGCCAUGGGAAUUGGUUUCACUCGAAGCUAACGACCUAACCGCAAGGAGGGAGUUAUUUAAAGUGGGAUCGGUGACUGGGGUG
rnacentral:rRNA from 1 species